UGCUGCAGCUCGGUGUCAGGGUCUUGGUAAUCUUCUUAAAGCCUAGGUCAUCUUUAUGUAGAGCAACAUUAUUUUUUUCACAUCCUCAGAGUUCUUUGCCUUGAGGUGCCAUGUUGAACUUCCAGUGACCAGUAUGAGGGAGUUGUCCAAAGCCCGUGGUGGUGGAAGUGCAUGGCGUUUGUGGGGGAGCAGGAGUGGAUCUAAUCACAGCCUGUGAUAUUUGUCUGUGCACACAGGAUGCCUGGUUUCAGGUGAAGGUAUGAGGAACAUUAACUUGCCAUACAUUGCUUGCUUACAUGUUUACACCAAGAUCUGUAAACAAGCUAUUUUUGUCCAUAUGAUCAUAUAUCGAGAUAGUAAGUGAUGAGAAGAUAAGAAUGGGCUGAUUGUUCUGACUCGUAUAUGCCCCUAUGAAAGAGUUGACCACAAGGGGGCACACUCUGAACAAUUAUUUACAUUUGCAGUUUGUUGAAGAUUAAAUAAACCACAGUGAGCAUCAGAUGUCUGGUUUUAAUACAAAGUGGACUAUUUUAUGAUAUUACCAUCUUGUCAUUUAUCAAAGAAGAGCUACAAAACCUGAAAUUUGUUCAUUUUUAGACAGAAAAAUUCUGCAGUGUAGCUCUUCUAGUGGGCUUUCCCACUGGAAGUUUAGUCCAACACAGAGCAGUUUGCAUGAAAAGUUGGUAAUGUGACUGUCGUAAUGUGGACUGGGAAGUGCGCUGCGGUACCGAACCCGAGACUACCUGUAGAAGGUGGUCCGAGUUCGGUUACACUGGAACUGUGAAUGCGAAUUGUCCCAUGAAUGUGAACGUAACUUGUAUCCGGGUCUGCACUUGUUCAGGAAGUAGAGUAACCUGUGCUGAAGGCCUGUUGUGGUGAUGACGUGUCAUGACACGUUUUGGCCCAAAUCUGCAGUAACUUUGAAAAAGUGGAAGCUCCUCUGAAUAUUGUGGAGUUUCUUGAUUUUGUGUUAAUUUCUGUGAUCACAAAAUGGUGAAAUUCUGGACUGACACAUGGAAGAUAUGGAAUGAUAACAGAAGAAUGUGACUUUGGGUUGUACCGUGUAUUUUUUUCAUGUAGCUUUAUUAUUUAGUAUAAAUGAAGGAAAGUGUGUGUUCUGUUCAUCUCUGCAGUCGUGUGUUCCCUGAUAGUCAAUGAUUGCUGGAGCUCUGGAAAUAGCAGGUGAGAUUGCAGGCCAGAGUCGCGUCGCUGUCCAAGGAACCAAAAUCAACCUCCUCUACUCCUGAGACCACAGUGUGACUGAGAGCCUAGACUACAUGGCUACUUGGAACAUGAACAUGUUGCAGACACAGGAUCUUAUGAAGUCAGCGCAGGCAGCCCUGGAAAAGAAGAGUCCGAAAGACGUGCCCUUCUCCAAGCUUUAAAGGAGAAGAUCCAGGGCUGUUGAAGCUGCGGUGGAACUGAGACUUCAUCAUCCCCAUAUCUUUAGUUUUUCUUGCUAAGUCUGUUUCUUUUUAGUCUUUUUAUUUUUAGACUGGUCAAAAGACUGAUUAGUGGAAGUGAAAUGAUGGAUGAACUUUUAAUUACUUGCUUUAUUAUUUGCAGGUGCCUUGUACAGUAAGACAGGGUAACUAAUACUCAAAAGCUUGUUUUGUGUGUUAACAUGUACAGUAGAUGUACAUAUUUUUUCUGGUCCUGUGUGACUGCAGAAUGUAGUGCAGUUAACACAGUAAAUUUCCUUGGAUGCUCACUUUUAACUCGAGGAGGUCACAGUUUGCCCAGACAUCUUUUUUUAAAUCCAUCACCCACACGUCAUUCUGGGGGACGAAGAGGAGGAAGCUGGACAGAUAAAUUUAUUUAUUUAUUUAUCAUUGCUGUGUUUCCUCAAUCGAGUGCAGAAAGAAGAAAAACAACACAACUGAUUUAAAAUAAAAAUAUAGAAAACAAUCUAAUGUAAGGUUCUGAUCCGGUUUGCUUUCAGCAGGAAGGCUGUCCUCUUUCCUGUUGUUCUUUCUCUUCUAUUAGUCCAUUUGUCCAGUCUGAAUCGGUUUGAUUCGUUUCGAGACGAUUCGGAGUCAAAUAAUUUUCUAGUGAGAGUCGCACACUUCCAAACGAACUAGACUGAGAUGAGUAUUUGAUUCUCACUAGAAAGUGAUUCGACUCUGAAUCAACUCGAAAUGAAUCAGUCAAACUGAUUCAGACUCUAUAAAAG
ensembl:lncRNA